GUUCUGGCUUCUGCUGCACACACGCUAAAACUACAACAGUACGAGAAGAUUAGUAUGGCCCUUGUGCAAGAUGACACAAAGACUCGUGAUGAAUUCCAUAUUUUC
ensembl:snRNA U6 U6 spliceosomal RNA